AAAUGAAUUGACGGGGGCCCGCACAAGCGGAGGAACAUGUGGUUUAAUUCGAUGAUACGCGAGGAACCUUACCCGGGUUUGAAAUGCAAUCGACUGUAGUGGAAACACUACAUCCAGCAAUGGCGAUUGUGUAGGUGCUGCAUGGUUGUCGUCAGCUCGUGCCGUGAGGUGUCGGCUUAAGUGCCAUAACGAGCGCAACCCUUGCGGAUAGUUGCUAACAGGUAAUGCUGAGGACUCUAUUCGGACUGCCAUCGUAAGAUGUGAGGAAGGUGGGGAUGACGUCAAAUCAGCACGGCCCUUAUGUCCGGGGCGACACACGUGUUACAAUGGGUGGUACAGUGGGCAGCUACCGGGUGACCGGAUGCUAAUCUCUUAAAUCCACUCUCAGUUCGGAUCGAAGUCUGCAACUCGACUUCGUGAAGUUGGAUUCGCUAGUAAUCGCGCAUCAGCAACGGCGCGGUGAAUAAGUUCCCGGGCCUUGCACACACCGCCCGU
rnacentral:rRNA from 1 species